rnacentral:rRNA from 1 species
GACGAACGCUGGCGGCGUGCUUAACACAUGCAAGUCGAACGGAAAGGCCCUGCUUUUGUGGGGUGCUCGAGUGGCGAACGGGUGAGUAACACGUGAGUAACCUGCCCUUGACUUUGGGAUAACUUCAGGAAACUGGGGCUAAUACCGGAUAGGAGCUCCUGCUGCAUGGUGGGGGUUGGAAAGUUUCGGCGGUUGGGGAUGGACUCGCGGCUUAUCAGCUUGUUUGUGGGGUAGUGACUUACCAAGGCUUUGACGGGUAGCCGGCCUGAGAGGGUUACCGGGGACAAGGGGACUACGAGACGCACCAGAAUCGUACGUGAGGCAGCAGUGGGGAAUAUUGCAGAAUGGGCGGAAGCCUGUUACAGCAGCGCCGCGUGCGUGAUGACGGCUUUCGGGUGGUAAACCGCUUUCGCCGGUGACGAAGCGUGAGUGACGGUAAUGGGUCAGGAAGCACCGGCUAACUACGUG